AUUGAACGCUGGCGGCAUGCCUUGCACAUGCAAGUCGAACGGCAGCGCGGACUUCGGUCUGGCGGCGAGUGGCGAACGGGUGAGUAAUACAUCGGAACGUACCCUGUUGUGGGGGAUAACUAGUCGAAAGAUUAGCUAAUACCGCAUACGACCUGAGGGUGAAAGUGGGGGACCGCAAGGCCUCACGCAGCAGGAGCGGCCGAUGUCUGAUUAGCUAGUUGGUGGGGUAAAGGCCCACCAAGGCGACGAUCAGUAGCUGGUCUGAGAGGACGAUCAGCCACACUGGGACUGAGACACGGCCCAGACUCCUACGGGAGGCAGCAGUGGGGAAUUUUGGACAAUGGGGGCAACCCUGAUCCAGCAAUGCCGCGUGUGUGAACAAGGCCUUCGGGUUGUAAAGCACUUUUGUCCGGAAAGAAAUCGCGCUGGUUAAUACCUGGCGUGGAUGACGGUACCGGAAGAAUAAGCACCGGCUAACUACGUGCCAGCCGCCGCAGUAA
rnacentral:rRNA from 1 species